GAUGAACGCUGGCGGUGUGCCUUAAGCAUGCAAGUAGAACGGUCUACGUCGCUUCACAAGAAGCUAUGUAGACAGUUGCAGACGGGUGAGUACAGCAUAGGAAUCUACCCAUUGGCGGGGAAUAACUUGUCGAAAGACGGGCUAAUACCGCAUAAGAUCGCAAGAUGAAAGGCCUUAGCGGGUCACCAAUGGAGGAGCCUAUGUCCUAUCAGUUAGUUGGCGGGGUAAAGGCCUACCAAGCCGACGAUCUGUAGCUGGUCUGAGAGGACGACCAGCCACACUGGGACUGAGACACGGCCCAGACUCCUACGGGAGGCAGCAGUGGGGAAUUUUGGACAAUGGGGGCAACCCUGAUCCAGCAAUGCCGCGUGAGUGGAGAAGGCCUUCGGGUUGUAAAGCUCUUUUGUCAGGGAAGAAACGGCCUGGGCUAAUAUCCUGGGCUAAUGACGGUACCUGAAGAAUAAGCACCGGCUAACUACGUGCCAGCAGCCGCCGUAA
rnacentral:rRNA from 1 species